rnacentral:rRNA from 1 species
UUAAAAGUUAAAUGGCCGCGGUAUACUGACCGUGCAAARGUAGCAUGAUCAUUAGUUUUUUAAUUGAAAGCUUGUAUGAAAGGUUAGAUGAGAAAAUAGCUGUCUCUAAUUAAGUUUACAGAAAUUUAUUUUUAAGUAAAAAAGCUUAAAUAUUUUUAGAAGACGAGAAGACCCUAUAGAGUUUGAUAAGUAUUUUUAUAAAUGAAAUUUAGGAUUUUAAGGUUUAUAUUGAUAUUUAUUUAGUUGGGGUGAUUAAAAAAUUUAAAAAACUUUUUUUUUAUGAAUCCAUUUAUUUAUGAAUAUUUGAUCCUUUAGUGAAGAAUAGAAGAUAAAAUUACCUUAGGGAUAACAGCGUAAUUUUUUUUGAGAGUUCUAAUCGAAAAAAAGGAUUGCGACCUCGAUGUUGGAUUAAAGGAAAUUAUUGGUGUAGUA